rnacentral:rRNA from 1 species
UACGAAGGGGGCUAGCGUUGUUCGGAAUUACUGGGCGUAAAGCGCGCGCAGGCGGUUCUUCAAGUCAGAGGUGAAAGCCCAGAGCUCAACUCUGGAAUGGCCUUUGAGACUAGAGAACUAGGGUACGGGAGAGGUGAGUGGAAUUCCGAGUGUAGAGGUGAAAUUCGCAGAUAUCGGGAGGAACACCAAUGGCGAAGGCAGCUCGCUGGGACGGUACUGACGCUGAGACGCGAAAGCGUGGGGAGCAAACAGG